AGGAAGGACUGUCAGGAGAUCAAUGAGCUUUGCUGCAAUCAUUAUUCACGUCAUUUUACAAUGACUCCCGAAAAUAAAAUCUGUUUUCAAAUGGGGGAUAAAGUUUGCUGCACAAAGAAUGGCUACAUCUCAGAUAAAGAUGAUGAGAACAUGCAAGAAGAGCCUGCACAUGAUGCAGCAGGAACUUUCCGAGAUAUUUCAAGUACCCAAAGAAAAAAUGAACCGAUGAAAGAGAAAAGAGAGAGAAUGUGCAACAGGGAAAAUUUCUUCAUUAUAGGGGAUGUAACUGAUUUGGAUAUGGGAGCAAGACCCAAAACAAGGUACUUGACACUAGACUUCUAACUACAGUGAGCUACACAGAGAGUGUAAACUGUGCCAUGCUUGGGCAAGAACCAUUCACACCUUUCAGGGCUCAGAGGCAGAAACAAUUGUGUAUGUUCUUGGCAGCUGUGGUGAAAACUGGCAGCAUGUAUACACUGCAGUGACACGUGGUCAGAAGUGCGUAUAUGUGGUGGGUAGAGAGCGUGACCUAAAAAGAGCCAUCGUGAAAAAGAUCACUCCUCGUAACACAAGAUUGCGAGGCCGUGUCAAGGAGAUAGUUGCUCAGCAAGGUCCUAAAGACUCUUUCGCUCAAUCUGGCUGCAGACAGAGUCAUGUGGAGACUCCUGUGAAUCAUGGGCCUUCACAGUCCACACCAGUGGCCUCAAAGCGGCCUGCUCAGUCAGACCCCUGUACUACACAGAGCAAACUUAUCAAGGUAACGGAGUAAAACAUACGUAAAUAAUGAAAAGUACACUGAUAAUUGCUUUAAACAUUCUAUGACCUGCUCUUGCUCUAGCAAACCACUUCAGAAGAGCCUCUGUUAGACAGCGCAAGCCCCAAAUCUCACAGCGAGGAGCUUCCUUGAGAAGAUUCACAUUCUCACAAGGAACAUGUUUGCAGUUAAUUAUGAAUGAUUUUCAGUUACAAAGCAGACAGAAAGGGCAGUGGCAUGAACAAAAAUCAGAGACCACACUGAUUCAAGAUCUAAUUUAAACCUGGAAAUGCAAAGAUUCAGGAAUUUGAAAACCUCUAAAACAAAUACGCUGUAAAUUGAACUGAAACUGUUUAAGAUUCUCCACUAUUUUAUUAUAUUAUAUAAUAUAAUAAGAUUUGUAUUUAGUAUUGUUAACUUUCUGAAUUUAGGUAGCCUUAACAAUGUGUUUGUACAAUUGGUUGUUAUUGACAUUAGCAGUGCCAAAUAGUAACCACGCUAUCAAUGUGCUUUCUGUAUUAUUUUUAUUUUUAAGUAUACCUUAUUUCCUUUUUAUUAUUCAUCAAGAAAAUAUUACAAUAUCAUGUACUUGUUCUCACUUCUGCAUCCACAUCUAUUCUACUUUUUGACUGUAGACACUAAUUGUUUUUGAUGGCCUGUUUUGUUUUAUUAUUACUUCAAGCCUAAAGCGUGUAAUGGCAUGUGCACG
ensembl:lncRNA